GCUGUUACACCUCUGCUAAGUUUCUUCCUGAGAUUGAUAAAAGGUCUGAUAUCUUAGAGCCAGUAACUUUAGGGGUGUGUGUAUGUGUGUGUGUGUGUGUGUGUGUGUGUGUG